rnacentral:rRNA from 1 species
UACGGAGGAUGCGAGCGUUAUCAGGAUUUAUUGGGUUUAAAGGGUGCGUAGGCGGACUGUCAAGUCAGCGGUAAAAUUGAGAGGCUCAACCUCUUCCCGCCGUUGAAACUGGUGGUCUUGAGUGGAUGAGAAGUACGCGGAAUGCGUGGUGUAGCGGUGAAAUGCAUAGAUAUCACGCAGAACUCCGAUUGCGAAGGCAGCGUACCGGCAUCCAACUGACGCUGAGGCACGAAAGCGUGGGGAUCAAACAGG